UACGUAGGGGGCAAGCGUUGUUCGGAAUUAUUGGGCGUAAAGGGUGCGUAGGCGGCUUAUCAAGUGUGUCUGUCAAGACCGGGGCUCACCUCCGGGGAUCGGAUACAAACUGAUAGGCUAGAGUCCGCGAGGGGUUGGUGGAAUUCCUGGUGUAGCAGUGAAAUGUUAAGAUAUCAGGAGGAACACCGGUGGCGAAGGCGACCAACUGGCGCUGGACUGACGCUGAUGCACGAAAGCCAGGGGAGCAAACGGG
rnacentral:rRNA from 1 species